CGCACGUCACGUUAACGUCAGACGACGCCAGUGCGAGAAGCCGUCGUUUUUCAAGCGUGAAAGAAAGAAAGAAGCGAGAAACUUGUUGAGCUCGUGUCUUCAUUGUGCCCGCGCCGGCAGUUAAAGACACAGAAGCCUGCUCUUGUUAGGAGGAGCCGGUGUUCCCAGCUUCUGAAGAGAGGGAAAAUGUUGAUAGCCAGAGACAAGAUAACUUCAUUCUUUCGAGACUGAUAACUCAAACUAACUUUGGAGUUAAGGACACAGACGCCUGCUUGUGUGAGGAGGAGGCAAUUUUCUCAGCUUCUUUAGAAGAGAGGAAAAGACAGUUUAAG